CACGUAGGCACCAAGCGUUGUCCGGAUUUAUUGGGCGUAAAGAGCUCGUAGGCGGUUCAGUAAGUCAGGUGUGAAAUCUUUGGGCUUAACCCAAAGCGUGCACUUGAUACUGCUGUGACUUGAGUUCGGGUAGGGGAGUGGGGAAUUCCUAGUGUAGCGGUGAAAUGCGCAGAUAUUAGGAGGAACACCGGUGGCGAAGGCGCCACUCUGGGCCGAAACUGACGCUGGAGGAGCGAAAGCGUGGGUAGCAAACAGG
rnacentral:rRNA from 1 species